GAGCACGUAGGUGGGUUUGUAAGUCAGAUGUGAAAGCCUUCUGUUCAAAGGAAGAACGGCAUCUGAAACUGCAGAUCUUGAGUGUAGGAGGGGAGAGUGGAACUUCUGGUGGAGCGGUGAAAUGCGUAGAUAUCAGAAGGAACGUCGGCGGCGAAAGCGACUCUCUGGCCUAUUACUGACACUGAGUGUGCGAAAGUUAGGGGAGCAAACGGGAUUAGAUACCCCGGUAGUCCUAACUGUAAACGAUGGGCACUAAGUAGAGGG
rnacentral:rRNA from 1 species